GUCUCACGGUAAGGCCCUUUCGGGGGUACACGAGUGGCGAACGGGUGAGUAACACGUGGGUAAUCUGCCCUGCACUUCGGGAUAAGCCUGGGAAACCGGGUCUAAUACCGGAUAUGAGCUCCUGCCGCAUGGUGGGGGUUGGAAAGUUUUUCGGUGCAGGAUGAGUCCGCGGCCUAUCAGCUUGUUGGUGGGGUAAUGGCCUACCAAGGCGACGACGGGUAGCCGGCCUGAGAGGGUGAUCGGCCACACUGGGACUGAGACACGGCCCAGACUCCUACGGGAGGCAGCAGUGGGGAAUAUUGCACAAUGGGCGAAAGCCUGAUGCAGCGACGCCGCGUGGGGGAUGACGGUCUUCGGAUUGUAAACUCCUUUCAGUAGGGACGAAGCGAAAGUGACGGUACCUGCAGAAGAAGCACCGGCCAACUACGUGCCAGCAGCCGCGGUAAUACGUAGGGUGCAAGCGUUGUCCGGAAUUACUGGGCGUAAAGAGCUCGUAGGCGGUUUGUCACGUCGUCUGUGAAAUCCUCCAGCUCAACUGGGGGCGUGCAGGCGAUACGGGCAGACUUGAGUACUACAGGGGAGACUGGAAUUCCUGGUGUAGCGGUGAAAUGCGCAGAUAUCAGGAGGAAC
rnacentral:rRNA from 1 species